UCCUGGAAAGUGGAUUCGUCGUCGUGGGCCAGUUGAAUGGCCCCCAAGGUCUCCCGAUCUGACCCCUUAGACUUUUAUCUUUGGGGUCAUCUGAAGGCAAUUGUCUAUGGUGUGAAGAUACGAGAUGUGCAGCAUCUGAAACUACGGAUACUGGAUGCCUGUACUGGCAUUUCUCCUGCGGUGUUGCUAUCAGUGUGUGAAGAGUGGGAGAAGAGGGUUGCAUUGACAAUCCAACACAAUGGGCAGCACAUUGAACACAUUUUAUAAGUGGUCAGAAACUUGUAAAUAACUCAUGAAAGAAUAAAGUUACGUUGAAACCAAGCACACCAUUGUUUUUCUUGUGACAUUACCAAUAAGCUUGAUGUGUCACAUGGCCCUUUUCCUAUUGAAAAAACAAAAGUUGUAUCCAAGAUGGCCGACUUCUAAAUGGCCACCAUGGUCACCACCCAUCUUGAGGAGUUUGCCCCCUCACAUAUACUAAUGUGCCACAAACAGGACUUUAAUAUCACCAACCAUUCCCAUUUUAAUACGGUGUAUCCAUAUAAAUGGCCCACCCUGUACUUUGCCACUGUACUUAAGUAGAACUUUAAAAACACUUAAAAAUUAAAGGUGGUCCUGUCCGUGUAUUAAUUAUCAUAAGUUAUAAUUAUUAUAUGUGACAUCCUCUGGGAUGGCAAAAUCGAGUGACAUUAUUACACUGAACAAAAAUAUAAAUGCAACACUUUUGUUUUUACUCCCAUUUUACAUGAGCUGAACUUAAAGAUCUGAAACAUUUUCUACAUACACAAAGGACCCAUUACUAUCAAAUAUUGUUCACAAAUCUGUCCAAAUCUGUGUUGGUGAGCACUUCUCCUUUGCCGAGAAAAUCCAUCCCACCUCACAGGUGUGGCAUGUCAAGGUGCUGAUCAGAAAGCAUAAAUAUUGCACAGGUGUGCCUUUUUUAACCACUGAAUGUUUUUCAGAAGCUGUCGGUAAAAUGACGUGGAGCAGAAUACCUCCUCCUCACAAAUGUCUGUCUGUGGCAGUCCUGGGCCCCGUUCUUCGGCCCAUUCUGUCUCUCUCUGGCUCUUGGGACUAUUGCUGGAUCAUUACCCAAAUCCAUCCCAUGAACAUGGCACGCCAGGCCUCAGAGACAGCAGGUGCUUCGUCUGAAAGCAGCAUGUUUUUAAAGUCUUCACCACAGGGCAGAAAGGCUUAUAUGUGCCACCAGAGGGAGAAGCAGCAGGGAUCACACAGAAAAGGAAGAUGCUGCGGACAUGCAUGGAGGUGCGGCCACUUGUUGGGGGGCUAGGCACGUGAGGUGGAAUCCCAUCCCCGAUGCAUGCGAGUGUACACACCGGGCAUAGGUAGAUUGCACCAUUUAGAGUUUAGUGUGACUGAGGUCUGCAGUGAAAUCACACGGGUGAGUAAUUGGUGGCACCCUUGGGCACUUCUCCCUGUAGGUUGCCUCCUCAAGUGGCCGGUCUCCAUCAUUUUGUUUAGUUAUUCUUUUAUCAUGUUGUGAUUGUUUUUAGGGUAGCAUCGUGGUAGGGAGUCUGGUUGUUUUAAUCAUCGUUGUUAAUAAAGUGUUUUAAUUAACUAUCUUGCCGUCUCAACCCUGCUACCUUAGGUGCCUUUUUGAUUUUAUAAUUCUAUGUUUUUAGUAGUUCUUCUUAAUAAACUUUGAUUUGUAAAAAAUCACCUGCCUCACCUCUGCCGUUAAUAACGAGUCUGUGGGCUUUGGUAGCCAGUGUAACAUUUACGUUGGCUAGAGAAAUCUUUCCUAGGGUGUAACUCCCUCCUCCAGGUGGCGUUGUCAACAUCUUAGUUACCGUCCCCGGUUAUUCCUCAAUCGCGCCACCACAAUCACUUUUCUACUUGAGCAUUUUAUACAACAUGCUUGAUUCACUCAUUCACACAAGUUCUUUUUUUCUACAUCUGCAUGCUUUCUACCUAACAUCCAAACCCUAUAAACACAUCAAGAGCAACUCUGGGUUUAGUAUCUUGCCCAUCGAUUUGCCAACAUGUAGACUGGAUCAACCAAGGAUUGGACCAGAAACCAUCUAAUUAGUAGAUCCCCUGCUCUGCCUAAAAGGUGAAUCACUGAUGUCCUUAAUUUCCACUUACAUAUGUAGCUUGUAAGAUUUUUAGUUUACAUCUUAAACGGCUUUCAAGUGAUUGGCGCUUCAUACAGGAUUAUGAAUAACCUAGGGUUUGUACUUCAGAGGGUUAAAUUGAGCUGAAAAUGGUCAACAGGACUGAGGCUACAGCGAGAGGUGUCUGGCUAGUGUCUCAUUUAGUCUGUACAUAUUUCUAGAAGUAGUGCUUCUUUACCUGAACAGUGUACGCUCCGAAUUUAAAUUACAGCUAUAAAUUCAUGUCAAAAAUCUCUACAUAUUGUGUAAUCGUUCUGAUAUCUACUGCGGUCUUAUAUCACGGUCUUAUGAACCACUUUGUACUCCAAUAGGAGAUAAUGAGUUUAUGUACUCUGAUUAGCCUACUAUAAUAAAGGAACAAUAUAUCUGAACAGAACAUGUGUACAAUAAACCUUUAGUUACAACAUUUGUCAGUUUUUUUCUUUUAUGUAACAUCCUCCAAUAACACUCGUGGGUUUCAAGUUUUAAUUUCCAAGUAUUUAAGUUUCCUAUGAAGAGCAAUGGUAACUAUGUAAAACACAUAACUUUUAUAGCUCAUGAAACAGAC
rnacentral:lncRNA from 1 species